CCGCAGAGCUCCUUCUGGGAUUCUCUAUUGGCUGAACUCAGCCAGAAGCUGCCAAGGGAGACCCCCACAACUGGAUGCAGCCCACUGAAGUCAGCUUCCUGGGGUGCGUAGCUGAAGGUAGCAGGGAGCAAAAAGAAUCUGAAGGGGAAGUGAACAAUGUAGAGCGUAUCUGUGCUGAAGACGUAAGGAGAGAGUGGAGGUCAGAAGCUGGCAUGGUCCCUGGUGCAUGUAUCAGCCGCUAAAGAAGUGGAGAGUAUGAACAUAAGCAAGAGGAAGUGAUGAGUAUCCCUUCCAGGAGAACUCUAAGAGGCAGUGAGUGAUUUGCUGGGCUCCCAAGCCCUCUGCUCUGAUGACAGCAAAGCCCCAAAUCAUGGUGCCUCCAUCAGUCGGGACCCCUCAGCAGAGCCAGCUUCACAGCUGGAGUGGAUGAAUCAGAACUUUCCCCAUGGGAGCAUUUAUAAAAAGGGGACACCCAGCGCAGAAGAUGUUUUCCAGGGAGAUCUCGGGGAGCCCAACAAGCCAAGAAGAGCAGAGCAAAGCAUUCCAAGGAAGGACUCUAAGUCUGCAACCGAGCACACACGAGCACAAGGAAAGACCAUGUGAAUACACAGCAAGAACGUGGUGCUCUGCAAGUCAGAAACAGACCCGUCAUCAGACACCAAAUCAGCCAGCACCUUGAUCUAGGAUUUCUGGCCUCCAAAACAGUGAGAAAAUAAAAUUCUGUUGUUUAAGCCAUGCA
rnacentral:lncRNA from 1 species